CGCGNGCCAACCGCAAGGAGGCAGGCGCUUAAGGAGUGACUGGUGACUGGGGUG
rnacentral:rRNA from 1 species